rnacentral:rRNA from 1 species
GACAGAGGAUGCAAGCGUUAUCCGGAAUGAUUGGGCGUAAAGCGUCUGUAGGUGGCUUUUCAAGUCCGCCGUCAAAUCCCAGGGCUCAACCCUGGACAGGCGGUGGAAACUACCAAGCUGGAGUACGGUAGGGGCAGAGGGAAUUUCCGGUGGAGCGGUGAAAUGCAUUGAGAUCGGAAAGAACACCAACGGCGAAGGCAGCACUCUGGGACGUGACUGACGCUGAGACGCGAAAGCGUGGGGAGCAAACAGG